CUGCGGAUGUACUCUAAUGCUGAUCGAUAAAUGUCCAGUAAUUAAUUUAUAGAGUUAACCGUCUGACUGCACCCGUGUACACUUUUUGCCUAUUAUCACUCCUGCCAUUAUUAGAGAAAUUGCUGAUAUAGCAAAUUCCAUAUGACAGUGCAGUGCUAUCGUAUCUAUAAGCCAGAGCAAAAAAAAAACAACACCACCGAUUUUGACGGCGUGACGG